rnacentral:rRNA from 1 species
ACGCUCGACACCUACGGGUGGCAGCAGUGGGGAAUAUUGCACAAUGGGGGAAACCCUGAUGCAGCGACGCCGCGUGGAGGAAGAAGGUCUUCGGAUUGUAAACUCCUGUUGUUGGGGAAAAAGAGGAUGGUACCCAACAAGGAAGUGACGGCUAACUACGCGCCAGCACGCCGCGGUAAUCUGAGGCGGGCUGGCGAAGGC